AAAUCAAUCAUCAGUACAGUACUGCAAGUGAAACUAUGCCAAGUGAUAAAGCGAUUAAGUUUCUUCUCUUCUCUCUUUUGUUGGUGGCUGUUUUCGCGGCCGCUUCAGCUGCACCAGAAGCUUCAGCCGAACCAUGCUGGUGGUUGUGGAACCAUUGGUUUAGAAAAACGACAACAUCUACGACCACAUCAACUACUACUUCUACUACAACCACUACAUCAACUACGACGACGACAACCACCACUACUACUGAGGAGGGUGGCUAAGCGCUUGAGAAGAUGCGUUUAAAUUCAACUUACAACAAACUUCUUACAAUACAACUUGACGAGUCUAACAUUAUGAACCGUGCCCUGCAGUUAAUUCAAUAAAAUAAAUUACCUUUGAAC